rnacentral:rRNA from 1 species
UGAGGAAUAUUGCGCAAUGGGCGAAAGCCUGACGCAGCGACGCCGCGUGGAGGAUGAAGGUCUUUGGAUUGUAAACUUCUGUUAAGUGGGAAGAAAGGCCUGUUUCUAAUACAAGCAGGAAAUGACGGUACCACUAAAGAAAGCACCGGCUAACUUCGUGCCAGCAGCCGCGGUAAUACGAAGGGUGCAAGCGUUAUUCGGAUUUAUUGGGUGUAAAGGGUGCGUAGACGGCAUGCUAAGUCCGCUGUUAAAUUUCCCGGCCUAACUGGGAGCCAGCGGUGGAUACUGGUGUGCUAGAGGAUGGAAGAGAGAAGUGGAAUUCCCGGAGUAGCGGUAAAAUGCGUAGAUCUCGGGAGGAACACCAAUGGCGAAGGCAGCUUCUUGGUCCAUAUCUGACGUUGAGGCACGAAAGCGUGGGGAGCAAACAGG